rnacentral:rRNA from 1 species
UACGGAGGAUCCGAGCGUUGUCCGGAUUUAUUGGGUUUAAAGGGUGCGUAGGCGGCUUUGUAAGUCAGUGGUGAAAUAUGGCAGCUCAACUGUCAGGGUGCCAUUGAUACUGCAGAGCUUGAAUACAGAUGAGGUAGGCGGAAUUGACGGUGUAGCGGUGAAAUGCUUAGAUAUCGUCAAGAACACCGAUAGCGAAGGCAGCUUACUGGGCUGUAACUGACGCUGAGGCACGAAAGUGUGGGGAUCAAACAGG